CGCGCAGGCGGUCUUGUCCGUCAGGUGUGAAAGCUCGGGGCUCAACCCCGGAAGUGCACUUGAAACAGCAAGACUUGAACACGGGAGAGGAAAGCGGAAUUCCUGGUGUAGAGGUGAAAUUCGUAGAUAUCAGGAGGAACACCGAUGGCGAAGGCAGCUUUCUGGACCGAUAUUGACGCUGAGGCGCGAAGGCGUGGGUAGCGAACG
rnacentral:rRNA from 1 species